rnacentral:miRNA from 1 species
UCAGGAAGUUCCGUGCCCGAA